GAUGAACGCUGGCGGCGUGCCUAACACAUGCAAGUCGAACGGAGAUUACGGACGGAAGUUUUCGGAUGGAAGCCUGUAAUUCUUAGUGGCGGACGGGUGAGUAACGCGUGGGCAACCUGCCCUAUACAGGGGGAUAGCAGCUGGAAACGGCUGGUAAGACCGCAUAAGUCGGUUAAAUCGCAUGAUUUGAUCGGGAAAUGAGCAAUCAGGUAUAGGAUGGGCCCGCGUCCGAUUAGUCAGUUGGCAGGGUAAAAGCCUACCAAAGCGACGAUCGGUAGCCGGACUGAGAGGUCGGACGGCCACAUUGGGACUGAGACACGGCCCAAACUCCUACGGGAGGCAGCAGUGGGGGAUAUUGCACAAUGGAGGAAACUCUGGUGCAGCGACGCCGCGUGAGUGAAGAAGUAUUUCGGUAUGUAAAGCUCUAUCAGCAGGGAAGAUGAUGACGGUACCUGACUAAGAAGCCCCGGCUAACUACGUG
rnacentral:rRNA from 1 species